ACAUAAUUUAUUAAUGACAAAUUAUUUUUCCCAGUUCAUCAAAUUUGUUCUAGUGACUUGUUCAUCUUGAAUUACUAGUUGGUCUAUAUUUACUAUUUCAUUUAUGAGGAUUUGCCGCUUCACGAAAGAAGUUCGUAUUCUUAUACUCUCCUUAACCCUAAGGCUUCGGGUCUUUUUCUCCAUAAAAUUUCCUCAAUUUUGAUGUAUUCUCCAUGUUCUAUAAGAAGAGACUUUAGUAGGGAUUCCGCUUUUAUCAGAAUUUUAUCCUCCAGUACAACAUCCAAAUUAUCUAGUUGACUUAAAACCUUCUAUAAAAUCAAAUUAUUCCUCCAUAGAUGGAGUUCUUCUCUUACAAUUUCACUGCUCGGAAGGAAACAUUAUCACAUUAAAAUCUUCACAAAAAUCCCAUGACCCUUUCAAUAGUCUGUAAAAACCCAUGUUUCCUCCGACUCAUUAUCCCAUUCAAGAUUGAAUUUUUUAUAUGGGAGAUGUUUUGAGUGAAUUAGUACACUGGUAAUUGAUUUUGCGGGUUGGACGAUAAGGGAGAUUUGGGCAUCAUGGUUUAUCUGUUAGACUCAUUGCUUUUGAGGAUCGCUUCACUUUGUAUGCAUUAAUUAUGUUCAUUUCUUUUAUACUAGAUCAUUAAGUUUCUAUGUGCAGAUUUCUGCCGAGACUAAUUGUAUCUAUCUGACUGUGAGGUACAUAAUUGAACUCUAACUAGGAACAGAGAUCAAGAAAAUCCCUCCACAAAUAGAUCAAGCUAUAUAUUGUAAAUGAGUUGUUAGUUCUGAUCGAUGGUGCUGCCACUGGGCUAAAGGAGCUUAUGAUGGUCCAAAUAAAGAUGCCAAAGAAUACUAUACCUUAGUUGAACAGUCAAGCCAAGAAUUAUAUUCAGCCAUUGAUAGAUGAGUUAAAAUUGUUGUGGGAUUCGAGAGUGGAAACAUAUGAUGCUUCAAGAAGUCAAACAUUUCAAAUUCAAGAAGCUCUUAUGUGGACAAUCAAUGACUUUCCUGCAUAUGCUAUGUUGUUUGGAUGGAGUACAAAAGGAAAGUUUGCUUGCCCUUUUAGUAACUAUAACACUGAUUAUCGCUCUUAUAUUUGGAAAAUGUUUUAUAUGGAUCGUGUUUUUCUACCGAGAUCAUCCAUGGAGAUCUAAAUAAGGAUCUCCCAAUGAGAAAAGUGAAUCCAAGCCUCCUCCACCAUUAUUAAAGGGAACUGAUGUUCUUACUUGUUUACAAGAAUUUGAAAAUAUGUUUGUAAAGAAGAGAAAGAAAAAUGAUGGUCAUGGAAAAAGGUCAAUUUUUUUGAAUUACCUUAUUGGCAGCACAACUUGUUACGCCAAAACCUUGAUGUAAUGCACAUAGAAAAUAAUAUAGUUGAUAGCCAUUCUUGGAACUCUUUUGGAUAUUCCUGUUAAAACAAAGGAUCAUGCAAAAGCUAAUAUAAUUUGAAAGAGAUGGGAAUUAGAGAGAAUAUUCAUCCAAAAGAUACUGGAGAUAAUAAGACAACAAAGUUUGCAAAAGCUUGCUUCACUAUGAAAUAUGGAGAGAAAUCAUUUAUUUGAGGAGUUUUAAAGACAGUCAAUCUACAUGAUGGCAGUGCCUCACAUAUAUGUAGGUGUGUGCAACUGGAUGAAAGGAAAUUGUCUGGUUAUAAGACUCACGAUUCUCGUUUAAUGCUACAUAACUUGCUUCCAGCACUCAUUAAAAGCAUCCUUCCAGAUCAUGUUUCUAUUGUUUUGAUUCGUCAUGUUCCUUUUUCAAGCAUUUGUGUCAAAAAGUUAUCACAUCGGAGGAAUUUUAUUCCUUAGAAAUAGAUAUCGGAGAAACAAUUAACCAGUUGGAGCAAAUUUUUCCUCUAUCAUUUUUUGAUAUAAUGAUUCAUUUAUGUAUUCAUUUAGCGAAUGAAUUGAGUUUAGGCGGUUUCAAAACCCAUGGAUGUAUUACACUGAAAGAAAUUGGUACAUUUAAAUAAUAUAUCUGCAACAGACGUUAUCUAGAAGGUUGCAUAGCAGAGGAACGUGAGAAAAUAGACUAUAUGAAUUUAUUUUCUAGAUAUCUGAAUAAGGAUGUACAAACAAGAUUUAAUAGAAGAGCUCGAAAUAACGAAUAAUGUGAUGCAAGUGAUGCAAAAAGCUAUGAGUUUGUUUCCAAAAAAAUGAUGUCCAAUAGGAUCAUAGAAAUUGAUCCAUUUUUUAGAUAACCAGUCACUAAGUCAGUCCCAUGCAUAAUUAUUGGGAAACUUUGAUGAAUUUCAAGAAUAUAUUAGGUACUUUAUUUUAAUAUAGUAUUUUCUUUAGUAUAAUGAAGUGUUAACAUGUUUUAUUUAUCAUUUAAAUAAAAAAGUACUUGUUGUGUAGAGAGCAUAAGUAGAGGUUAAUGAUCAUCUGCAAAAAUCUAAAUAAAGAAAAAUAGGGAUCAUUGUCAAAACGUCCCUCAAUGGUUUGAAACUCGUGCUUUUUAAGAGGAUGUGCCUGAUUUGAUAAAACAAUUUUCUAGGGGACUAAAUUUAUUUGUUGAAAGAUAUGUUGGUUAUCUCAUUAAUUUGUAUAUAUUCCAUAUUAGACAGCAUGAUGGAAGGUGUAAAACACAAAAUAGUGGUGUUAAACUUGUUACCUCAACUACGAGCUUUGCAGGCUAUUAGAACCCGAUUGCUGCAAAUUUGACUUAUUAUGGUAGAAUAGUUGAUAUAGUUGAGUUACACUAUUAUUAUUAUUUUAAGAUUGUUCUGUUUAACUGCGAUUGGUAUAAGGUUGAAAAAGAUAAUUAUGGCCUUACUUAUGUCUAUUUUAACAAGAGAUGCUCUAAAGAAGAGCCUCUUGUGGUUGCGUCUCAAGUACAUCAAUGCUUCUAUGAUAAAGAUCCAUAUGAUCAAGAUACACAUUAUGUUGUGACGACUGUUACGAGAGACUUGUUUAAUAUGACUGAUGAAUUUAAAUCUAAUCUCCCACAAAAUUAUGAAAAUGAGUUGUCUGAACACUUGACAGGACCAUCCAUACCAGAAGAUGUUGGUGAAGUUCUGUACCAGAAACUAUUAUUGAUGUGCCUUCAAAGGAAUUUGAUACUAAACAACAUGAGGUUGAGUAUGACAAGGAGUUUGAAGAUGAGUCUGAAGAAGAGUUUGUACAUAAGUUUGAAGAAGAGUUCAAAGACGGGUGUGUAAAUGAUUCUGAAGAUGAUUCUAAAGAUGAUUCAGAAGAUGAAUAUAAAGACGAUUUUGAAGAUGACACACCAUGAGUUUAAUUAUUUAUGUGAUGACCAUAUAGUGCAAACUCACUCUUUUUGUUAUUUUUUAGUUAUUGUACAAACACCUUAAGAUGUCUAUGUAUUUUGUUGGCUUCGUUUAUGCUCCUGAUUUUUGUUUGGUCGAUAAUUUAUGUUGGCUUCUUUAAUUUAUGUAACUAUCGUUUUGUUGAUAAACAUGUAAUUCUAACUUACUAUUA